GAUGAACGCUGGCGGCGUGCCUAAUACAUGCAAGUCGAGCGAACAGAUGAGGAGCUUGCUCCUCUGACGUUAGCGGCAGACGGGUGAGUAACACGUGGAUAACCUACCUAUAAGACUGGGAUAACUUCGGGAAACCGGAGCUAAUACCGGAUAAUAUAUUGAACCGCAUGGUUCAAUAGUGAAAGACGGUUUUGCUGUCACUUAUAGAUGGAUCCGCGCCGCAUUAGCUAGUUGGUAAGGUAACGGCUUACCAAGGCAACGAUGCGUAGCCGACCUGAGAGGGUGAUCGGCCACACUGGAACUGAGACACGGUCCAGACUCCUACGGGAGGCAGCAGUAGGGAAUCUUCCGCAAUGGGCGGAAGCCUGACGGAGCAACGCCGCGUGAGUGAUGAAGGUCUUCGGAUCGUAAAACUCUGUUAUUAGGGAAGAACAAAUGUGUAAGUAACUAUGCACGUCUUGACGGUACCUAAUCAGAAAGCCACGGCUAACUACGUG
rnacentral:rRNA from 1 species